rnacentral:rRNA from 1 species
GACGAACGCUGGCGGCGUGCCUAAUACAUGCAAGUAGGACGCAGUUGCGAACGGGUGAGUAACGCGUAGGUAACUACCUAUUAGAGGGGGAUAACUAUUGGAAACGAUAGCUAAUACCGCAUACUAGUAGAUGGACCUGCGUUGUAUUUGCUAGUAGGUAGGGUAAUGGCCUACCUAGGCAACGAUACAUAGCCGACCCGUGCAGGUUGUCCGACAAACUGGGUAUUAGAAACGGCCCAGGCUCCUACGGGAAGCAGGCGGUGGGAAUCUUCUGAAAAUGGGGGAACCCUGACCGAGCAACGCCGCGUGAGUGAAGAAAGUUUUCGGAUCGUAAAGCUCUGUUGUUAAGGAAGCGGUACUUAACCAGAAAGGGACGGCUAACUACGUGCCAGCAGCCGCGGUAAUUC